AGGGCUAUCGCCAAACGGUAAGGCAACGGACUCUGACUCCGUCAUCUAGAGGUUCGAAUCCUCUUAGCCCUG
rnacentral:tRNA from 1 species